AUACGUAGGGGGCGAGCGUUGUCCGGAAUGAUUGGGCGUAAAGGGCGCGUAGGCGGCCCGGUAAGUCUGGAGUGAAAGUCCUGCUUUUAAGGUGGGAAUUGCUUUGGAUACUGUCGGGCUUGAGUGCAGGAGAGGUAAGUGGAAUUCCCAGUGUAGCGGUGAAAUGCGUAGAGAUUGGGAGGAACACCAGUGGCGAAGGCGACUGACUGGACUGUAACUGACGCUGAGGCGCGAAAGUGUGGGGAGCAAACAGGAUUAGAUGCCCUGGUAGUCCACACUGUAAACGAUUAAUGCUAGGUGUAGGGGGUAUCGACCCCUUCUGUGCCGCAGUAAACACAAUAAGCAUUCCGCCUGGGGAGUACGGCCGCAAGGUUGAAACUCAAAGGAAUUGACGGGG
rnacentral:rRNA from 1 species